GAUGAAGAACGCAGCGAAAUGCGAUAAGUAAUGUGAAUUGCAGAAUUCAGUGAAUCAUCGAAUCUUUGAACGCGCAUUGCGUCCGCCAGUAUUCUGGCGGGCAUGCCUGUCCGAGCGUCAUUUCAACCAUCAAGCCCCGGGCUUGUGUUGGGGACCUGCGUCCGACGCAGGCCCUGAAAACCAGUGGCGGGCUCGCUGUCCACACCGAGCGUAGUAACUAACCUCGCUAUGGAGUGGCGCGGGCGCCUGCCGUAAAACCCCCAAUUUCACAAGGUUGACCUCGGAUCAGGUAGGAAUACCCGCUGAACUUAAGCAUAUCAAUAAGCGGAGGA
rnacentral:misc_RNA from 1 species